AGCUCCAAUAGCGUAUAUGAAAGUUGUUGCGGUUAAAAAGCUCGUAGUUGGAUUUCUGUUGAGGAUGACCGGUCCGCCCUCUGGGUGUGCAUUUGGCUCAGCCUUGACAUCUUCCUGAAGAACGUAUCUGCACUUGACUGUGUGGUGCGGUAUUCGGGGCAUUUACCUUGGGGAAAUUAGAGUGUUUCAAGCAAGCGCACGCUUUGAAUACAUUAGCAUGGAAAGUAAGAUAGGACCUCAGGUAAUGGUUGAUAGGGAUAGUUGGGGGCAUUCGUAUUUAGCUGUCAGAGGUGAAAUUCUUGGAUUUGUUAAAGACGAACUACCGCGAAAGCAUUUGCCAAGGAUGUUUUCA
rnacentral:rRNA from 1 species